UUCUAUUGAAUCUGAGAUGUUAUUUUCAGCUGAUUAUAGAGGAGGAGUUUUGUCAUUGAUGGGUACCAACGUCAUAUUUAUGAUAUUGUGGCUGCAUCACUUUUGUUUGGCAGAGGUACAAGAGAACCAGGAACACAGAUAAAAGAUGCAGUUGCUAAGAGAUCCAAAGUCAGCAGCACCUAAGACUAAACUGACUCUGAAUUAUCAGCAUCCAAAACAAUGCAAAUCAAAUACAGGUUUUGUCUGUACAUCUGGCAAUCUUAGGACAAUACUGGAUGGUUUUAAUUAAGAACUGAUCCAGCAAGAAGACCAGC